rnacentral:rRNA from 1 species
AAUUUUGGACAAUGGGGGGAACCCUGAUCCAGCCAACCCGCGUGUAUGUUGAACUCCUUUGGGUUGUAAAGUACUUUUGUCUGAGAAUAAAAGUCAUACCAUAAUACGGGAUGCAGCUGAAGGUAGCUGCAGAAUAAGCACCGGCGAACUACGUGCCAGUAGCCGCGGUAAUACGUAGGGUGCAAGCGUUGACCGGAAUUACUGGGCGUAAAGCGUGUGUAGGCGGUUAGGAAAGAAAGAUAUCAAAACCCAGGGCUCAACCUUGGAACUGCAUUUUUAACUGCCGAGCUAGAGUAUGUCAGAGGGAGGUAGAAUUCAACGUGUAGCAGUGAAAUACGUAGAUAUGUGGAGGAAUACCGAUGGCGAAGGCAGCCCCCUGGGAUAAUACUGACGCUCAGACACGAAAGCGUGGGGAGCAAACAGG